UUUUUGGACACUUUUGGUUCAAUCUGUUUUCACUUUGAAUUGGCACUUGGCAAUGAAGAAUUUAGUUUCUAUCUCCUUUGGUAGCUGACUGUUUGAGUUGCCUCUCUGAAUUAUUUCAGUUUUAGCUUUUGGGGUUAUUUUUUUUUCCCCCAGAUUUAACUGUUGUUGGCUCUAUCCCUGCUCUGUCCACAUAACAACAUUUGCAGCUAAUGGGAGGAAUGCAAAGGAGUGACACUGCUGAUUGCUUUGAUAAAAAAGAGACUUGCUUUUAUUACCAACUAAUUAAAUGGGGAAUUUUUCCUUUACCAGAGAGGCCCAAGGGACGGGAAGCAAAAGGUUUGUUUUUGCAAGAAGUUGCAGUGCUUGUUUUCUGUCAAAGCUCCACAAAGGAUGGUGAUUACCCCAGCACUGCUGGGGAAGGUGAGUGAGCGUGCAGCAUUACACAGGAGCCUGUUCUGAGCAGGAUUUCAUUCCCCUCUCGGGCUGUGUGUGCCCUGUAUCACUUUUCUGUGCUUACAGAAGCUGACAUGAUGAAGAAGUGCAGGGGUAACUUGGUGCUGCUCUCAACAAAGGCUGGUUCCUCUCUGAUGCUCUCUGGGCCAGUUUGCAGGUUCAGGCUUGUUCCUUUAGACCCACACUGACACAGAGGCAGGGGCAGAAGAACAUUUUUGGGAAACUGCUUUAGUGGUUUUUAAUCUGCUGUUAUUUCCUCCUUCCUGGAUUUUUCUAUAUUGAUUCCAAGCAAGUGUGAUAGGGAAGAGCUGUCUCUAAACUACACCCCAACGUGGGGAAAACAACAAAGCUUUGCUCUCCUCUUGCAGUUUAUCCAGUCAGGUUUCUUUUUUAUUCAGGGAAAUUGCUGGGGUUUUCCACACUGAUAAAAGCUGUGCUGUCAGAGACAUAAUGGUUUUACAUCGUAUACCUCUCAUGCAAGUAGUAAUUUAAAUUUGUCUUUACUAUUAUGAAAUAAGUAGGUAGUAGCAUGGUCUUGUGCCAGCACAGAUUAGUACAUUUAUAAUUAGAUUAGUACAAAUUGUUUAUAGGUUUCAGACUCUACUUAGCCCAAUGGAAUAUGCAUGCAAUGUGUAAAAUUGCUUUAUUUCGUGGAAUUCCUUUGCAAUAACAAAUGUGUAGUUCAGAAUAGAAUUUUACAUUUUUUACAUUAGUUCAAUAACAACUAUAAUCUGAUACUGUGGUCAUUUGGUUUAUGCAUUUUGCCAUUUAUUCAUCUAAACAGAAAGCAGCAUUUUGUGCCUGCCAGAGAUCUUGGUAUUUAUCUAUGAUUCAUUCAGUGUCUAUAAGUCAAAUAUACUCUUGAAAGUUUCCCUGAAGCUCUUGCUCGUGGGAAACCAACAGGCUUACACCAAACAUAUCUGUCACUACUAAAAGCUAUUUGAUAAGAGACUUGGGAAAAAAAAUCUUCUUAAA
rnacentral:lncRNA from 1 species